AUGCCAAGGAGAUUCGGCUACCGGACAUGCCAUUUGAAAAUAGAUGACAUCGCUGAAAUGAACAUUGCAGAGGAUUUGGAUAACCGACCUUCAAAAAAAGCAAAAAAUUCUGAAACAGGUGUUCUGGAGCCAUCACCAACUAUGUCAGUAUCUUCUCCAAUUUCUGAAUGUUUUGAAUCGAUUGUGCCGGAAUCAGUUUUACCAUUACAUGAUGUUAAGGAACCAGAUUCCAAUAAAGAGAUCAUAGUUGAAGAGAAAUAUGAUUAUCUACCACAAGACAAUACAUUGACCGAUCAUGAUCUAUGUGCUCAUAUAGCAAUAGAAUCACCUUUCAGAAAACAAUUGUUGGUUCAGAUCGAUGGGAGUUCUGUGUUACAAAAUCAGUUGAUGUGUCUGCUAGAUGAAAAAGAGUGGGUAAAUGAUGAUGUAAGUAGUCAAACAGGAAAAUUGUUAUUAAUCACUAAUAUCUAUUACUAA
rnacentral:rRNA from 1 species